rnacentral:rRNA from 1 species
UACGAAGGGUGCUAGCGUUGUUCGGAAUCACUGGGCGUAAAGCGCACGUAGGCGGUCCGCACCAGUCAGGCGUGAAAGCCCCAGGCUCAACCUGGGAAUAGCGCUUGAUACUAGCGGGCUAGAGGCCGGGAGAGGGUAGUGGAAUUCCCAGUGUAGAGGUGAAAUUCGUAGAUAUUGGGAAGAACACCAGUGGCGAAGGCGGCUACCUGGACCGGUUCUGACGCUGAGGUGCGAAAGCGUGGGGAGCAAACAGG